GAAUGAUGUGUGAUUUUUAUUUUCUCCUUUAUUCUAUUUACCUUUUUUUCAUUUUCACACAAUCAGCAUGCUUUACUUUAAUAAACAGAAAGCAGUAAAAAUGACACAAUGCGCCUGAAGGAUGUGGUGCUGGAAGGCUUUUCUGUGAGUGAUUGCACAAGAAACGACCAUGUACUUGUUGCAAAGCCCGGAAGGAAAGCCAACAUCUCAGCCAGGUGGAGGGACCAACAUGCAGCAUGGGAAGCCGAGCAAGAAGAUUCAGACUGAAUCAAAGCAGAGACAAUUUCCCCAGGUGCCCAGGAAGCAGGGGUCUCAGCCACAAGGUUGGAAAAUAACCCCACCUAAGGUCAGAACCCUCGCUCGGAUCUUGAGGACUACUGCACACGGGAAGGUAAGAGAAUUCAUUCAGUGUUCUCGACAGCAAAGGUCGGAUCAUUUAUUCUCUUCAGUUCACUUGUCCUUUCUAUUAAAACUUUAAGUUAGCAAAUAUUCCAGGUCCUUGGUCUGAAGGGGUGCUUGCUGCCCGAUUUAUCUUCAGUUACACAAAGUCAAAUGAAGCAAGAACAAAUUGAAUCUAGAAAUCAUUGUGAUGUAGAGAAGCUGGGCCCCUUUGCUUUGAUCGCCUUGACUGUUGAGGACACAGAAGGCAAAGCAACCCUCCCCGUGCCUGGGCCCCAAGGAGCACAGACAGGAUCUGGAGUAGCAGCUGCCCUGUGGAGCCCGCCACGCUGAGCAAAGCUGGGAGUGGGGCUCUGCCACCGAAGAAGGAUGCAGAAGAAAGCUCUAGAGAGGUUUGAAUAUCACACCUUGCCAGAAGUUUCCAGCUGCCUUUCUUCUUCAGUGCCUAUGGCAGUGGUGAGGCAGGGCUGGGCAGCUCUUCCGCUGUGUGGGGAAAGAUAGCACACAAGCAUAUCUGGAACUAUGUCACCCACCGGUCGCCACCAGCCACCCCCAUGUCGCUAUUGAGCUCCUGAGAUGUGGUCCCUCUGUGAGUGUAAAGCACAUGCCGGCUUCCAAAGAUUUGGUACAGAAAAAGAACAAGAAGCAUCUGGAUCACCUUUCGUACAGAUUACAUAUGGAAUGCAGACAAUGCAUAUUUCAUAGUUAAACUAAAUAAAA
rnacentral:lncRNA from 1 species